GCAGUGUGUAAUGUAAAAUUCUUCUUGGUAAUCCCCAAAAGUUUGCACAUUUAAGGUUUAUUUAGCACUGCCUAACCGUUUUUGGGGCUUGUAAUUUUCCCAGCAGAUGGCCAUGACAUGCAUCCUGUGCUGCAAACAUGGUUGCCACGACGACGUUGGCAUGUUCAGUGAUCUUGCUGUUUACAUGAAAAGACGAGCUACGGGCACGAAGAAAACUCAUUUCUUCUUCUGUUUUCAGGCGCAGACCUCACACAUCUCCUCUGACAACGACUCCGAACACGACCGAACAGACCCGGGAGGCAGCGGGCCGCUCAUCAAAGCAGAAAGGGUUCUGAAACAGCAGAGCAGAGCCACAUCGUCAGGACUUCAGCAAAACUCUCCUGCUCUGCUGGAUUCCACACCUGCUGUCAGGUUCAGCAGCUGCUGGAGUUUGAGCACAGUGUCCUGCUGCAGCCCGUCUGGUCUCCACCUGCAGGAAGAUGUUGGAAAGUUUCCCCUAAUCUGGUUGGUGCAUCUGAACACCAUUAUGCCGCCAUCUGCAUCACAAUGGCCUCCUAAUCCACAAGAAGCCUCCCGAAUUAACCGCAGAGAAAUGAAGAGGAGAGUCAUCUCGCUCAGGGAUGAAGAGCAUGAAGUCCAGCUCUGAGGGCUGCAGAUCGAUCCGUGUCCUUCAUAUCAGGUGACUUCGCGCCUCCUGCGCUCGCGCCUCCAGCGCGCACGCGCCUCCUGUCAGGCGGCAAUGUCUCCGUCUUUGUUCCCACUUCUCCGUCCUCAUCCUUUCUUUCUGGAAGCACAACAGCGGCGGACUCGAUUCCACUGAACUCUUUCAUCCUAUCGGAGCGUCCGGGAAAAAACAGAUGGUUUAUUAGAAUCAUUAGUUUCCAUUUACAAAUAAAGAUAUUCUAGUUUUUCCCCGAUUUUCCAUCUUAAUUUUUGCCUACAUAAUUUAUUUCACCAUCGUUUUUUUCCUUUGAGC
rnacentral:lncRNA from 1 species